AUUGGACGCUGGCGGCAGGCCUAACACAUGCAAGUCGGACGGUAGCACAGAGAGCUUGCUCUCGGGUGACGAGUGGCGGACGGGUGAGUAAUGUCUGGGGAUCUGCCCGAUAGAGGGGGAUAACCACUGGAAACGGUGGCUAAUACCGCAUAACGUCGCAAGACCAAAGAGGGGGACCUUCGGGCCUCUCACUAUCGGAUGAACCCAGAUGGGAUUAGCUAGUAGGCGGGGUAACGGCCCACCUAGGCGACGAUCCCUAGCUGGUCUGAGAGGAUGACCAGCCACACUGGAACUGAGACACGGUCCAGACUCCUACGGGAGGCAGCAGUGGGGAAUAUUGCACAAUGGGCGCAAGCCUGAUGCAGCCAUGCCGCGUGUAUGAAGAAGGCCUUCGGGUUGUAAAGUACUUUCAGCGGGGAGGAAGGCGAAGUGGUUAAUAACCGCGUCGAUUGACGUUACCCGCAGAGGAAGCACCGGCUAACUCCGUGCCAGCCGCCGCGGUAA
rnacentral:rRNA from 1 species